CCGUAGCUCAGCCUGGAUAGAGCAGCGGACUUCGAAUCCGUGAGUCGCAGGUUCAAAUCCUGCCGGG
rnacentral:tRNA from 1 species